GACGAACGCUGGCGGCGUGCUUAACACAUGCAAGUCGAACGGUAAGGCUCCAGCUUGCUGGGGUACACGAGUGGCGAACGGGUGAGUAACACGUGGGUGACCUGCCCUGCACUUCGGGAUAACCCGGGGCAACUGGGUCUAAUACCGGAUAGGACCGCACCGUGAGGGUGGGGUGUCAAGUUUUUUCGGUGUGGGAUGGGCUCGCGGCCUAUCAGCUUGUUGGUGGGGUAAUGGCCUACCAAGGCGGCGACGGGUAGCCGGCCUGAGAGGGUGGACGGCGACAUUGGGACUGAGAGACGGAGCAGACGGCUACGGGAGGCAGCAGUGGGGAAUAUUGCACAAUGGGCGGAAGCCUGAUGCAGCGACGCCGCGUGGGGGAUGACGGCCUUCGGGGUGUAAACGCCUGUCACCAUAGACGAAGGGUUUUUGACGGUAGAAGGAGAAGAAGCACCGGCUAACUACGUG
rnacentral:rRNA from 1 species